AGAGUUGAUCAUGGCUCAGAACGAACGCUGGCGGCGCGUCUUAAGCAUGCAAGUCGAACGGCAUGAGGAAGCUUGCUCCUCAGAGAGUGGCGGACUGGUGAGUAACACGUGGGUGACCUACCCUUGAGAUGGGGAUAGCCGUUAGAAAUAGCGGAUAAUACCGAAUACGCUCUACGGACUCUGGUUUGUAGAGGAAACAGGGCUACGGCCUGGCUCGAGGAUGGGCCCGCGUCCCAUUAGCUAGUUGGUGAGGUAAGAGCCCACCAAGGCGACGAUGGGUAUCCGGCCUGAGAGGGUGUACGGACACAUUGGGACUGAGAUACGGCCCAAACUCCUACGGGAGGCAGCAGCUAAGAAUAUUCCGCAAUGGACGAAAGUCUGACGGAGCGGCGCCGCGUGGAUGACGAAGGCCGAAAGGUUGUAAAAUCCUUUUGCUGAUGAAGAAUAAGCGUGGUAGGGAAUGACCGCGUGAUGACAUUAGUCGGUGAAUAAGCCCCGGCUAACUACGUGCCAGCCGCAGC
rnacentral:rRNA from 1 species